rnacentral:rRNA from 1 species
CCUACGGGUGGCAGCAGUCGAGAAUCAUUCACAAUGGGGGAAACCCUGAUGGUGCGACGCCGCGUGGGGGAAUGAAGGUCUUCGGAUUGUAAACCCCUGUCAUGUGGGAGCAAAUUAAAAAGAUAGUACCACAAGAGGAAGAGACGGCUAACUCUGUGCCAGCAGCCGCGGUAAUACAGAGGUCUCAAGCGUUGUUCGGAAUCACUGGGCGUAAGGCGUGCGUAGGCUGUUUCGUAGUUCGUGUGUGAAAGGCGCGGGCUCAACCCGCGGACGGCACAUGAUACUGCGAGACUAGAGUAAUGGAGGGGGAACCGGAAUUCUCGGUGUAGCAGUGAAAUGCGUAGAUAUCGAGAGGAACACUCGUGGCGAAGGCGGGUUCCUGGACAUUAACUGACGCUGAGGCACGAAGGCCAGGGGAGCGAAAGGGAUUAGAUACCCCAGUAGUC